rnacentral:rRNA from 1 species
CAGUAGCCGCGGUAAAACGGAGGGUGCAAGCGUUAAUCGGAAUUACUGGGCGUAAAGCGUGCGUAGGCGGUUCGUUAAGUCUGUUGUGAAAGCCCCGGGCUCAACCUGGGAAUGGCAAUGGAUACUGGCGAGCUAGAGUGUGUCAGAGGAUGGUGGAAUUCCCGGUGUAGCGGUGAAAUGCGUAGAGAUCGGGAGGAACAUCUGUGGCGAAGGCGGCCAUCUGGGACAACACUGACGCUGAGGCACGAAAGCGUGGGGAGCAAACAGGAUUAGAUACCCCUGUAGUCCCUGUCUCUUAUAC